UACGGAGGGGGGCUAGCGUUGUUCGGAAUUACUGGGCGUAAAGCGCACGUAGGCGGCUUUGCAAGUUAGAGGUGAAAGCCCGGGGCUCAACUCCGGAAUUGCCUUUAAAACUGCAUCGCUAGAGUUGUGGAGAGGUAAGUGGAAUUCCGAGUGUAGAGGUGAAAUUCGUAGAUAUUCGGAAGAACACCGGUGGCGAAGGCGACUUACUGGACACAUACUGACGCUGAGGUGCGAAAGCGUGGGGGAGCAAACAGG
rnacentral:rRNA from 1 species